AAUGAACGUUGGCGGCGUGGAUUAGGCAUGCAAGUCGCGCGACAAGGAACCUUCGGGUUCUGGAGGAGCGGCAAACGGGGUAGUAAGGCAUCGGAACGUACCCUCUUGUUGGGAAUAGCCGCGGGAAACUGCGAGUAAUGCCCAAUAAUCCCUACGGGGCAAAGGUCCGCCGCAGGAGGAGCGGCCGAUGUGAUACCAGCUAGUUGGUGAGGUAAUGGCUCACCAAGGCUUAGACGUCUAGGGGGUGUGAGAGCAUGGCCCCCACCACUGGACGUGAGAUACUGCCACGACACCUACCGGGUGGGCGUGCAGUCG
rnacentral:rRNA from 1 species